AGGCCAGACUCCUACGGGAGGCAGCAGUGGGGAAUAUUGCACAAUGGGGGGAACCCUGAUGCAGCGACGCCGCGUGGGUGAAGGAGCACCUCGGUGCGUAAAGCCCUAUCGGCAGGGAAGAAACAGACGGUACCUGACUAAGAAGCCACGGCUAACUACGUGCCAGCAGCCGCGGGAAUACGUAGGUGGCAAGCGUUAUCCGGAUUCACUGGGUGUAAAGGGAGCGUAGACGGCGACGCAAGUCUGGAGUGAAAGCCCGGGGCCCAACCCCGGGACUGCUCUUGGAACUGCGUGGCUGGAGUGCAGGAGGGGCAGGCGGAAUUCCUGGUGUAGCGGUGAAAUGCGUAGAUAUCAGGAGGAACACCGGUGGCGAAGGCGGCCUGCUGGACUGCAACUGACGUUGAGGCCCGAAAGCGUGGGGGGCAAACAGGAUUAGAUACCCUAGUA
rnacentral:rRNA from 1 species